UUUCCGUAGGUGAACCUGCGGAAGGAUCAUUACCACACCAAAAAACAAACCCCACGUGAAUUAAUACUGUCAAGUUUUGUGCCCAUUCGCCUUUAUUGGCGUCUAAGGGCUGAACGAAGGCCGCAAGGCCGAUGUAUCUAUUUUAAACCCUUUUUUUAUUGUGAUUUGAGAAAAACAUUGCAGAAAUGAAAAUUUUUGCUCUUAAUUUCAAAUACAACUUUCAACAGUGGAUGUCUAGGCUCGC
rnacentral:misc_RNA from 1 species